GAUGAACGCUGGCGGCGUGCCUAAUACAUGCAAGUCGAGCGAACAGACGAGGAGCUUGCUCCUCUGACGUUAGCGGCGGACGGGUGAGUAACACGUGGAUAACCUACCUAUAAGACUGGGAUAACUUCGGGAAACCGGAGCUAAUACCGGAUAAUAUAUUGAACCGCAUGGUUCAAUAGUGAAAGACGGUUUUGCUGUCACUUAUAGAUGGAUCCGCGCCGCAUUAGCUAGUUGGUAAGGUAACGGCUUACCAAGGCAACGAUGCGUAGCCGACCUGAGAGGGUGAUCGGCCACACUGGAACUGAGACACGGUCCAGACUCCUACGGGAGGCAGCAGUAGGGAAUCUUCCGCAGUGGGCGAAAGCUUGACGGAGCAACGCCGCGUGAGUGAUGAAGGUCUUCGGAUCGUAAAACUCUGUUAUUAGGGAAGAACAAAUGUGUAAGUAACUAUGCACGUCUGGACGGUACCUAAUCAGAAAGCCACGGCGAACUACGU
rnacentral:rRNA from 1 species